UAGCGGCAGACAGAGCCCUCUGUGACUCACUGACCCAGGAAGUAGACAACGGUAACCAAGGUAACGGCAGGACUGACGCAGAGGCAGCGAUACAAGAUGGAAGACUCUUCCUGAAAACCACAGUGAUGUAUUGAAGACAACAUGGAGAGAAGAGGAGAUGGAUUGAGCACCAUUGAAGA